rfam:Salmo salar isolate Sally breed double haploid chromosome ssa19, whole genome shotgun sequence.
UGGCUUAGUUGGUAGAGCAUGGUGUGUGCAACGCCAGGGUUGUGGGUUCGAUUCCCAC